CCCUGCCCCCCUCCCAAUGCUUGCUGAUUCUGAAGAGGCCGUCCAGAGCCGGCUGCAGAGACUGACUCACGAGACGAUGAUAUAAUUUCGCAAGAUCCUAGCAGCGGUGCGGCGGCUGGAAGUGUCUGUAAGGGACGUCCACGACAAGGGAUAAACAGCCAGAGCGGCACAGGUCUCAGACAUGUACUAGGCGGUGACUGGGAGGUGGCUAUUCAGACGCAUGGAGAUGGACCAUCUAACAGGUUCUUUUGGAUAUUUUCCAUGAAAAAGAAAUGAAGAAGCUUAUAGUACGCAUUUAAGGAAAAUAAAGACGACAAUUAAAUGAAAGGUUGAAAUAGUGGAGAGUUUUCUCGCAGUAAAUCAUGGAAUUCACUUUAGUGAGUUAUAGCGGCCAUACAGUACACGGAGGCCGUUGUGCCUUAAUGUUGUAUAAGCCUACAGCCACAACUCUCAGUGCCAGACAUGACAUGAGGUCAUAAAGGGCAGACUGUCAGCCUUGUUGGACUCUAAAGCCAUGCUGGGAGAGAUGAUGACUAUAUGACUGAUGGAGCAAGAGACCGGCUUCCCACCAUGGGAUACAGAGUUUCCCCACUGACAUGCCUGAAUCAGAUUUACGUUCUAUUUUCAGCUGUGUGUUGUUCAUAGUUAAUUCUAGAAACUUUCACUAAUAGUAUGCAUGUGUUAGGAGAUGCAUUGCAUGGGUUUAGCUGCAAUAAUAUAAAUUCAGUUGGUUAUUUAGGUGUCUAUUUAUCAAAUUGUCAAAUUUUACAUAAAAUAUCACUAGCGUGUUUCAAAGCUCUUGCAUAAAACCGCUGCCCCAGCAAAUACUUUUGUGUCCAGCAAUGCUCUAUUUAAUGCGAAAGACUUCUUCAGUACAGGUAAUGAGUGUGCGCAUGUGCAGACUGUUGAAAUAUGGAGUGUGCUAUUACGCUAUCUCAGUUAAUGCUCUAUAAGUGAAGCAUUCUUUUUUUUACCAAGAUGGCCGCUGUUUUGUCUUC